UACGAAGGGGGCUAGCGUUGCUCGGAAUCACUGGGCGUAAAGCGCACGUAGGCGGGUCUUUAAGUCAGGGGUGAAAUCCUGGAGCUCAACUCCAGAACUGCCUUUGAUACUGAAGAUCUCGAGUUCGGGAGAGGUGAGUGGAACUGCGAGUGUAGAGGUGAAAUUCGUAGAUAUUAGGAAGAACACCAGUGGCGAAGGCGGCUCAUUGGUCCGGUACUGACGCUGAGGUGCGAAAGCGUGGGGAGCAAACAGG
rnacentral:rRNA from 1 species